CCAGGAUUGUUGAGAUCAUCUGCACUUUGGUCAGGAAAUUAUCUUCUAAUCCUAAUAGUGCUGCUAUAAUGGCCAUGGGUGUUAACAUCUUGGCAAAGAGAUUGAAAUGAUUGGGGUUCUUGAUUGAGUUUCUAUCCCAU